rnacentral:rRNA from 1 species
GACGAACGCUGGCGGCGUGCUUAACACAUGCAAGUCGAACGGAAAGGCCCUGCUUUCGUGGGGUGCUCGAGUGGCGAACGGGUGAGUAACACGUGAGUAACCUGCCCUUGACUUUGGGAUAACUUCAGGAAACUGGGGCUAAGACCGUAUAGGAGCUCCUGCUGCAUGGUGGGGGUUGGAAAGUUUAGGCGGUUGGGGCUGGACUCGCGGCUUAUGAGCUUGUUGGUGGGGUAGUGGCUGACCAAGGCAGUGACGGGUAGCCGGCCUGGGAGGGUGGCCGGGGACCUUGGUACUGCGAUACGGCGCAGACUCCAAUGGGAGACAGCAGUGGGGAAUCUUGCACAAUGAGAGGGAGCCUGAUGCAGCAACGCCGCGUGCGGGAUGACGGCCUUCGGGUUGUAAACCGCUUUAGCCUGUGACGAAGCGUGAGUGACGGUACUGGGUGAAGAAGCACCGGCUAACUACGUG